CCUACGGGAGGCUGCAGUGGGGAAUAUUGGACAAUGGGGGGAACCCUGAUCCAGCCAUGCCGCGUGUGUGAAGAAGGCCCUCGGGUUGUAAAGCACUUUCAGUGAGGAAGAACGCCUGGUGGUUAAUACCCAUCAGGAAAGACAUCACUCACAGAAGAAGCACCGGCUAACUCCGUGCCAGCAGCCGCGGUAAUACGGAGGGUGCGAGCGUUAAUCGGAAUUACUGGGCGUAAAGCGCGCGUAGGUGGCUUGAUAAGCCGGUUGUGAAAGCCCCGGGCUCAACCUGGGAACGGCAUCCGGAACUGUCAAGCUAGAGUGCAGGAGAGGAAGGUAGAAUUCCCUGUGUAGCGGUGAAAUGCGUAGAGAUCGGGAGGAAUACCAGUGGCGAAGGCGGCCUUCUGGACUGACACUGACACUGAGGUGCGAAAGCGUGGGUAGCAAACAGGAUUAGAUACCCUAGUAGUC
rnacentral:rRNA from 1 species